CGGGGCGGGGAUGGACCGGGACAGAGUUGGAACUUCCUUCUCCCGGGGCUCUGGGGGCUUUGGGGUCCAGCCGGGAAAGGCCAGUGGAAAGGAAGCUCCCCAGCGGGGUGUUCCCAUUCCCACCGCUAGGGCGUCGCCUGGGAAAACGCGGCGCGCCCUGGGCGGACAGGUAGGGCGGCAGGGACCGGACCUGCCCGGUGAGGACCCCAGGGGAGGAUCCCGGCGACUGCGGGGAUUCGUAAACACACAGCACGGGGCCUGCAGCUGGCCCUCCCUGACGUCUGAUCUUCCACGUCCAGGGUGUUAUUUUUGUUGUUUCUCAACCUGACCUCUAAGAUUGCUAUCCUGUUGAAAGCACACCUGUGACCCUGUGACCUAUCUAAUGGUGGCAGGAUUAAGCUUGCCCUAUCUUCAGGGGCAUCUUUCUUUCUUACUUUCUUUUCGCCUGUAACUGCUGUGGCAUGAGGACUGGACAAUAAUAUGUCUGAAGACAAUCUAUAAAUUAAGAAUCAAAUGAUAGAUCUUAUUCACCUCUUGGAAAUGCGGAAUAAAGGGACCACAGACGCGGCUGCACGCUUGUUUGUAAGGUUUAGUUCCCACGUGAAUGCUCUUUAGAUGAGUCUUUACACCUGACAAACAGCAAUCAUGGAAGUGCACCGUAAGAAGGAGGCAGCAAAGAACUGAAGGAUCCCGGAAUGCUAAAUUAUUACCCUGCACAACUGCGCAGGAGAGUCCCAGGAACUACAACAGAAUCUGCAUAAGCAAGAAAUAAACUUGUGUUGGGUUAAGCCGCUAAAAUACUGGAGUGGCUGUUGCCCAUCAUUGCGUAGCCUACCUCAUGUACACAGUAUUCCUCCCUUAUCUGAGGUGGUGCUUUGUGGUUCCAGUUUCCCAUGGCCAAUGACAACCAGAAAAUGUUAAAUGGAAAAAUUCUUAGAAAUAAACAAACUUUAAAUUAA